GAUGCUGGAAGGAUCUGACAGACAGCUUAGCCCAAGACCAGGUUACACGGAACACAUGAUUAUAGACCAUGCUGUUGUUAUUGUCAACUCAGGACAUAAAGCCAGCUACAUAGGUCCCUUAUUCUCUCGCAUCGAUCUGCUCUGUCCCUGGAGAUGACGUGUAGGAGCCAUGUCCACUGAGCCCCUUCACCUUCUGGGUUCACACCGAGCUCCUCCCACCGUGGGCCUACCAGGAAACAGAAGAGCAGGCCAAGGUCAGGAGCUUCGGCCUGUGGCAGGUGAGGGGACAGCAGACUGUCCUGUUCCUGAAGAUCACGGCGGCAUUGCAGCCAUCCUUCCAUCGGCUACAGCUGUCUCUGGGUGCCCGCCACCCCUGCCUCCCUCACACUGAAGUGGUCAGAGCUCGCUGUGGUCGCUAUUCACCUUCUGCUCUAAGGAGAUCACGGAGCGUGGCAGCUACGUCCUCCUGUCCCAUCCCCUGAAGGGUGUGGACGAAAGUUAAGAGCUCUAAAAGUGACUCAACAGUUCAACCUCUACAGUUUCCAGCCCAACUUUCCAGAAACUCCCUUUCCUGAUGAAUCAGAUCAUCACUGGACAGACAUCGAGUCCCUUCUCACAUUAUCUCCAUCGCCAUUCCCACUUCCUAGUUCCCAAGGCUGAGAUUAUAGGCGUGUAUAUUCAUGUCUGCUUCAUACGGUGCUGGAGGACGGAGCCCGAGGCUUCAUGCAUGCUAUGCCAGUGGUCUACCAAACUGCCGUGUUUUUACUAUUCAGUACAACGCUUUCUGCUUUUAUAGAAACAUAAAGGUUUAGUUAUAGAAAGACCAAGGCUUUUAGUAUUGUCCUACUAUCAUUCUUCACCAUGGAAAUAGCAAAUCAGUGUACCUUUGAAUUGUAUGGUGUUAGAAUGUUUGACUUUUAAAAAUUGAUAACAGAAAAUUGAGUUACCUCAACAGGUUUUCUGCAAUGGAAUAAUAGGUUUCUCUGCCAGCGCAGUAAGUCAGAUCAAGCCAAAUUGAAAAAGUGAAAGAAAAGGUUUAUUUGAGCAAAGGAACUCCUGGAUGAGUCCGCCAGACCUAGAGACUGGGGCCAGAGAAGUCAGUCACUCUAACUAAAGCUUAUAUACUUAUAUAACUUAUAUACCCUGUAGGCGAGGGGUGAUGAUGUGUCCUCCAGAAGCUGGGCUUGUGCCUACAAUGGUCAAAAGCUGACCGCUUUAGGCAGAGUCUUGGGCUCCUGCCUCAGAGGAGGAGCUGCUGCAGCCGCCAAGAAUGCAGAAUCAGCCUUUUUGGUGCCCUUUCUUCAUUGGAGAAUCUCUGAGAGGGCGGGGUUUGGAGAGAGAGCAAUGGAGCUUUCUGGAUCAAGCAGGAGUGAGCUGGAGGCUCCAGCCGAUCAUUACUGACUUGAUUUUGUUGUUGCUUUGAGUGCUGGGGACCAAAACCAGGGCCUUGUGUUUGAUAGGCAAGCACACUAAAUCCCCAACUUUUGAGAAAAAGUUACUAUUAGGUGAAUUUUGGCUCAGGAUUAAGACAAAAUUUUCAAUAACUUCUGAAAUGGCCCUAAACAUGCUUUUGCUAUUUUGUGGUAUUUACAGAAAGAAACAAAAUCAAAAUCAACACUGACAACUUAAAGCAAUCAAAAUGUUGGGUCUGGAGAGAUGUGCUCAGAGGUUAAGAGCACUUACUGCGCCUCUAGAGGACUUGAGUUCAGAUCCAGCACCCACAUCAGGCAGCUUACAGCUGCCUGUGACUUCAGUUCAAGGGGAUCUGGCACCCCUGACCUCUGUGGACUGCAUACACAUAGCAGACACACACAGAGACACAUAAAUACAAAUGAAAAUAACAUAAAAAUCAAAAUAUUGAUCACCUGAAUAAAGUCGAGGAUGUUUUAUGUCUUAGAGUAUCAUAUAUUCAUCUAAGAUCUAAUUCUGUAUCUAAAAGUAAUCACAACCAUCUCAGA